AAAAAAAAAAGAUUAAAAUCAGAAUAAAAAAAAAAAACCGGCAUAGGUAUAUCGCAAUUCUCAGUGAGUGCCAAUGAUGUAUUAUUGCGCUCGAAUGUAAUUUCUGAUUAGUUAUCACUUGACGACGAGUCGAGAUUGAACGAUAAAAAUAGUUUCUGAAAUAAAAUAUAGUUUCUGGGAAAAAUUUUCUUUGUUUGAAAAUUUUAUUCGAAAUUUUUCACGUAUUAGAGGAAUUUUUUGAAAAUGAAUUCAAGUGUGAAGAGAAGAGAACAAUUUUCAUAAAGUGUCAAGAAAAAAAAACUUUCUUGGAGGACGUUGUGAAAAAAAAAAUGUCAAAACAUAAAGGAUCAUUAAAUACAGUGUGGAAUGUAUUUUUCGUUUUUUUGACUUUAAUUCCAUCUCUAUUGUUGAGCAUUUUUGCAUUUCCGACAAUUCAAUCUAUGUAUUAUCUUUCGCCAUACUUUGACAACGAUAUACCAAAAAUUACAAUUUAUUCAGUUGCCAUGGAAGAAAAAUCUUUAUAAUUAUUUUUGAAUUGAAAAAAAAUCAACGAUCGACGCAAAAGACUGAAAAAUAAAAACAAUUUAGAAAUAUAAAAAUUUGUUAUAUUUAUUAUAUUGCAAAAAAUAAUUGUAAAUAAUAAAAUACUUGAAACAAAA